UACGUAGGGGGCAAGCGUUGUCCGGAUUUAUUGGGCGUAAAGAGCGUGUAGGCGGCCGUACAGGUCAGCUGUGAAAACUCGAGGCUCAACCUCGAGACGUCGGUUGAAACCGUACGGCUAGAGUCCGGAAGAGGAGAGUGGAAUUCCCGGUGUAGCGGUGAAAUGCGUAGAUAUCAGGAGGAACACCUGUGGUGUAGACGGCUUUCUGGACCAUAACUGACGCUGAGGCACGAAGGCCAGGGGAGCAAACGGG
rnacentral:rRNA from 1 species